GAGGGGGGUUCAAACAACAAGAACUGCUAAUUCCUGUAUCUGAGUCUAAAACCUCAGCCCCCUU
rnacentral:tRNA from 1 species